UACGUAGGGACCGAGCGUUGUCCGGAUUCAUUGGGCGUAAAGAGCUCGUAGGCGGCUGUUCAAGUCGAACGUGAAAACUCCGGGGCUCAACUCCGAGCCUGCGUUCGAUACUGGAUGGCUAGAGUCUGGUAGGGGGAUCUGGGAAUUCCUGGUGUAGCGGUGGAAUGCGCAGAUAUCAGGAGGAACACCGGUGGCGAAGGCGGGAUCCCUGGGCCAGUACUGACGCUGAGGAGCGAAAGCGAUGGGGAGCAAACAGGG
rnacentral:rRNA from 1 species